rnacentral:rRNA from 1 species
UACGUAGGGUGCAAGCGUUAAUCGGAAUUACUGGGCGUAAAGCGUGCGCAGGCGGUUUUGCAAGACAGAUGUGAAAUCCCCGGGCUUAACCUGGGAACUGCAUUUGUGACUGCACGGCUAGAGUGUGUCAGAGGGAGGUAGAAUUCCACGUGUAGCAGUGAAAUGCGUAGAUAUGUGGAGGAAUACCGAUGGCGAAGGCAGCCUCCUGGGAUAACACUGACGCUCAUGCACGAAAGCGUGGGGAGCAAACAGG